rnacentral:rRNA from 1 species
AACUCUAAAUACUCGGAUUUGUUAUACUGCCCCAUGUGAUAACUCAACUUUGGACGGGCAGUAGAAACUAUCAAGAUGGAGUACAAUAGGGGGAAUAUGAAAUUUUCAGUGGAGCGUUAAAGAUUUGUAGAGAUAGAAAAAAACACCAAUGAUGAAAGCAUUUUUUGGGCGGACAUUGACACUGAGUGACAAAUCUAGGGGAGCACAUAGGAUUAGGUACUUCAGUAGUUCUAGCCAUAAAUGAUGGAUACUAGGCGUUGUGCAUAUCGACCCGUCUAAUGUUGUAGCUAAGGCAUUAAGUAUCCU